AAAUGACAAGGUUUAGAUAUAUUAUUUGUAUUUUUUUUUUUUUUUUAUCUUCCCAGGGCUUUUCCAAAGCUUAAGACAAUACAUGGAGGCUGAUUUCUUCACAAAGCAUCCGGUAUUUUGGGAACAGGUAAUUGAAUGAACACUGAUGCAAAUCAAACAAAUGAGACGUGGCCCUAAGGAAACACCAAUGUGGACAGUUUUGCUCCAACAGCUAGACGCAGUGCUCCUGCUUUUCCCAAAAAGAAUCAAUGGAAUUUACUCAAGAGUUGCUGGUCUGCGGAGAAGAAUUCUGAUUCUGAAUAUCCACUUGCUCAAGUGUGCUACACUUCUGGAUUCCGCUGACAGUUUAUUGAAUCUGCAUCGACUGCUGAGGUCCAAAGCCUGCUGAAGGUCUGGACAGGCAUUUGAGGUGGUCUUGAUUGGAACAUGGCAGACAGUUGAAUGAGUCCUCUUGCCUGUAGGACGGAAAGCAUCCCCCACAUUGCGGACCAGCCCAUCUGAAGUGUAGGUAGUAUACAGUCAGAAAAGGAGAUGGAGAAGACCAUCCCUUUGGCAACUUUCAACAGGCCUGGAACUCAACGCAAGACAGUUACCUGGGAUGUACAAGGCUGCUCCACUUCACAGGGAACAACUACAGCACCACUUUGUGACCAGACAAGUUGCUGUGGGACACAUCCAAACCUGCUGCUCUCCUGAUCGUGGGCAGGGAAUGGGAAUGGGCAGGAAAGCAGGAAGGCACACUACUACAUGGCAUAAUCCUGCAGUACACUUUUUUUCACUGUGUAAAAAACAAAACGGGAAAGAAAGUAAAUGCAUGAUUUGUACAUAUCCCCAUACACAGAGUGUGUUCCUACAUUUAUUAAACUGUCUUAUGAAGAUGCUUCAUGUACAAAUUUGUUUUAAACAUUUGCAUUUUAAACUGUGUAUGUUUAUUUUUACUUAUUUUUUGACAAACAUUAGUUUCAAAGUGAUAAAAAAAAAUUAUAGUGUCAAAACACAUACCUUAAUGAUUAUGCCAAAAAUAGCAUGACGCAGCCACAUCAGAGAAAGCUUUGACAAGGCAGUUGGUUGUACUGCUGACCUAAGAACCUCAAGACUCCAGGGAUCAAGGGGCAUUCCAAGUGCAAGCAGUGUGGUUCUUGGACGGUCAAUCUAGAAUGUUUCAAGUCAAUGGCAUCAAUCUGUAUUCCCUAAGUGUACAGAGUUCAGUAAUAGUGUUAAUUGUGUACACUUGUAAUCACAAAGACAAUCAAACAAUGUUACUGAUCACUUCUGAGAUUUCUGGUUUGUUGACAAUUCUGCAUGGGACUGAAGUACUACAGCAGAUUUAGGUUAAUGUUUUGUUCAUUUUGAAUUGGAUUACUAUCCCAGUCGUAUGCAAACCUUGGCAGGUCAUCUUUCAGUCAUGGCAGGAAUGUAUAGUGAACACAGAUGUCUAAUGUUGAGAAGUCAUCCUCUUUCAAAGUGUGAAGAACAUUGUAGUACGGUCAUCUACACAUCAUGCCACAGACAUUCUAUUUUGCAGGAAAGAAAAUGAUUAACAGAUGUAUUACUUAACAGUGCACCAUACAUCAUUUACCAGAAGUUUACUACAGGCAUAAGUUUGCUUUUCUUGAUAAUUACAUUACUUUAGACUGUUCUUAAACUGCAUUCAUUAGAAUUAUCAUUGCAGAAAUUAAGACAGUAAUAUGACACAGUGCCAUAAAAUGUUCAUCAGCUCAAAUUCUGAUUGUGGACACCUGACUGAUAUAAAGCUUCUACACACAGUUCCAAAUAUAGUGAACACUUCUGGAGAAAUUUCCAUAUUCUUCUCACCCUGGAAGUGGGUAUAGUAACAUUUACUUAUGGUGGUGACAAAACCAUAGACCUCUGGAGUUGUGCCUUCAUUUUGUAGUUGGCACUAUGUUGUUUAUGCCCACAUGUGGCACUUCAGGUCUAACCAUAACUUUAGAUAUCAGAAAUGAAACAGGUUUAAUACAAAAAAAUCAUGUGUAGUAAAUAAAUGUUUUCUGAACCCA